AGAGUUUGAUCCUGGCUCAGAACGAACGCUGGCGGCAGGCCUAACACAUGCAAGUCGAGCGCCCCGCAAGGGGAGCGGCGGACGGGUGAGUAACGCGUGGGAAUUUUUCCUGGAGUACGGAACAACCGAGGGAAACUUCGGCUAAUACCGUAUGAUGCCGAGAGGCCAAAGAUUUAUCGCUCUGGGGUGAGCCCGCGUCAGAUUAGGUAGUUGGUGGGGUAAUGGCCUACCAAGCCUGCGAUCUGUAGCUGGUCUGAGAGGACGAUCAGCCACACUGGGACUGAGACACGGCCCAGACUCCUACGGGAGGCAGCAGUGGGGAAUCUUGCGCAAUGGGCGAAAGCCUGACGCAGCCAUGCCGCGUGAGUGAAGAAGGUCUUAGGAUUGUAAAGCUCUUUCGCUCGUGACGAUGAUGACGGUAACGAGAGAAGAAGCCCCGGCUAACUUCGUGCCAGCAGCCGCGGUAAUACGAAGGGGGCUAGCGUUGUUCGGAAUUACUGGGCGUAAAGCGCGCGUAGGCGGUUUUGCAAGCCAGAGGUGAAAUGCCUGAGCUCAACUCAGGAAUGGCCUUUGGGACUGCGAGGCUUUGAGGACUGGAGAGGUGAGUGGAAUUCCCAGUGUAGAGGUGAAAUUCGUAGAUAUUGGGAAGAACACCGGUGGCGAAGGCGGCUCACUGGCCAGUUUCUGACGCUGUAGCGCGAAAGCGUGGGGAUCAAACAGGAUUAGAUACCCUGGUAGUCCACGCCGUAAACGAUGAGUGCUNNNCGUCGGCAUGCAUGCAUGUCGGUGCCGCAGCUAACGCGUGAAG
rnacentral:rRNA from 1 species